rnacentral:rRNA from 1 species
GAUGAACGCUGACAGAAUGCUUAACACAUGCAAGUCGACUUGAAGCAACUUCGGUUGUGGAAAGUGGCGGACGGGUGAGUAACGCGUAAAGAACUUGCCCUUCAGUCUGGGACAACCAUUGGAAACGAUGGCUAAUACCGGAUAUUAUGGAACUCUCGCAUGGGAGGAUCAUGAAAGCUAUAUGCGCUGAAGGAGAGCUUUGCGUUCCAUUAGCUAGUUGGUGAGGUAACGGCUCACCAAGGCGACGAUGGAUAGCCGGCCUGAGAGGGUGAUCGGCCACAAGGGGACUGAGACACGGCCCUUACUCCUACGGGAGGCAGCAGUGGGGAAUAUUGGACAAUGGACCAAAAGUCUGAUCCAGCAAUUCUGUGUGCACGAUGAAGGUUUUCGGAUUGUAAAGUGCUUUCAGUUGGGAAGAAGAAAGUGACGGUACCAACAGAAGAAGCGACGGCUAAAUACGUGCCAGCAGCCGCGGUAAUACGUAUGUCGCAAGCGUUAUCCGGAUUUAUUGGGCGUAAAGCGCGUCUAGGCGGGUUCAUAAGUCUGAUGUUAAAAUGCGGGGCUCAACUCCGUAUUGCGUUGGAAACUGUGAACCUAGAGUAUCAGAGAGGUGGGCGGAACUACAAGUGUAGAGGUGAAAUUCGUAGAUAUUUGUAGGAAUGCCGAUGGAGAAGUCAGCUCACUGGAUGAAUACUGACGCUAAAGCGCGAAAGCGUGGGUAGCAAACAGG